rnacentral:lncRNA from 1 species
GUUGAUCAUCCGGCAUCGUGGGGGUCAAGGUUCUUCUGGAGAACCUCCCCACGUUGAACAUCCAGCAUCGUGGAGGUCAAGGUUCUUCUGGAGAACCUCCCCAUGUUGCACAUCUAGCAUUGUGGAGGUCAAGGUUCUUCUGGAGAACCCUCCAACGUUGGACAUCCGGCAUCGUGGAGGUCAAGGUUCUUCUGGAGAACCUCCCACUGAUGGAUGUUCGUCAUCGUGGAGGUGAAGGUCCUCCUGGAGAACACCCCCAUGUUGGACAUUGAGCAUCAUGGAGAUCGAGGUGCUCCUGGAGAACGCCCACUUUGGACGUUCAUCAUCGUCAUGGAGGUCAAGGUUCUUCUGGGGAACCUCCCCGUGUUGGACAUCCAUCAUCUUGGAGGUCAAGGUUCUUCUGAAGAACACCCUCCCCACACACAAGUUGGAUGUUCACCAUCACGGAGGUCAAGGUUCUGGAGAACCUCCCCAUGUUUGAUGUUCGUGGAGGUCGAGGUCCUCCUGGAGAACCUCCCAACGUUGGACACUGAGCAUCAUGGAGAUCGAGGUGCUCCUGGAGAACCCCAACGUUGGACGUUCGUCAUCGUGGAGGUCGAGGUUCUUCUGGAGAACCCCAACGUUGGACGUUCAUGGUCGUGGAGGUCAAGGUGCUCCCGGACACCUGGGUCCCUUGGACAUGGGGGUGCCCCCCACCCAGGACAUUGGGGUUCCUGACCCCCUCCCCCACCCCCUUUGGCUUCGUUAGGGCCCCCCUCGUUAGCGGGGCCCCGCCCUCAUUAAAGCUGCAGACGGUGCCAAGGGCAGAGGGUUUAUUGGGGUGUCCAGGAUGGGGACAAUGAGGAGGAGGAGGAGGAGGAGGAGAAGGGGGGAGGAAGGCUGAGGGGGUGCCCAGAAGCCCCAUUUGGCCCAUUUCUUGCCCCAAAUCCAUCUUCAUCAUCAUCAUCUUUUUCCUCAGGGCCUCCACCUUCCUCACCGUCCUUCUCCUGGUCUUCAGCCUCCUUGGGGUCUCCAUCUUCAUCACCCUCUUCUUCCUCGAGGUCACCUCAGUGUCACCUCCUUCCUCUUCCUCCCCAGGGUCUCCAUCCUCCUCCUCACCAUCACCUUCCUCCUCCUCAGGGCCUCC